UGUUCUGUAGUCUGGGUUUCAAAACGCUACCAAACUUCACAUUCGUAAGCCCUGCUUGGUUCUGUGAUGUCUGCAUCAACAUUUUCAGGAUGCUCAUCUGCAAUAUUUCGGAAAUCAAGAAAACUGUAAAGCGUCAUACGGUGUCAGCCACUAACGAAAGUGUUUUGCUUCGUAAAGAGGCACUUGGAAAAAAAAAGAUCAUACGGUAAUCUCCUAUCAAAGAAUGAGAAGAAUGCGGAUAUUCGAAAUUAAAUGUUGCGUACUUUGGGAUACUCGGUGGUUUUAAGUUCCUUUCUGAACCGGUUAGAGGCAAAUUCCCUUAUCCUUAAAGGUACGAGCAGAUAAUUAUUGGCACUCAAGCUUUGUGUGAGCAGGACCGGGUGUAAAUGGAUUUUUGAAGACAACGACUGCCCGCUGAGGCAGCGGUCAAUGAAACUGCUUGGCAGGCUUCUUGUGGGAACCCACACAUAUAUGUGCUCUAACAUAUUUGCCUUCAGUCCGAAAUAAAAAAAAAGAAAAAUAGGGCAAGAUUUUUUUUCAAGUCUCCACUCUAACAAUGAAUGGAAGGCGCUGGACAAAAAUCAUUUCACGGAAGAGAAACCGUCCGGAGAAAAGAUUGCUACGUUACAGGAGAAGAGUAUCUGAGUACCGAAGUGGAAAUCCUUUCCGGAUCCUAGGAUGUCUGGAGACCACAAGGAAAGACACCGGGUUGCAUUGCAGUGACAGGUACAAGACCCGCUUGCUUCUCUCCAUCACUGAGGGAAAUGGAAGCUUCCAGGCUGCUCACUGAUCAACAGGGACAGAAUGGAGGAGCUGAGCCCUGGCGCUUGUGGAGCUCAGUAAACAGGUGGAGCUGCAGCCACUGUGCUCCAGCCAGAGGAUCGCUGAGAGUUUACAGUGAAUUAAGCCCCGGAACUGAAAGACUGCACGUGACUGGGAUGUAACAUCAAAGCUUGGCAGAGGAAGUGGGCGUCUCCACUUUGAAACAGGACGUGCUCCAGACACCACAUUACACAGCUGGUGUGAUAAGCUUUCAUUAAAGAGCCGAGACUCAAGACUCACUUGAUUGUAGCUCUGCGUCACAGCCCACCUUUCCACUACUGUCCACAUCCCAUCAUCAAGCCUGUACCAGGGCUGCUGAAACUGGCAGGAGUUGUCUUGUGAGCUGUACUCAAGCAAAAAAA